UACAGAGGUCUCAACCGUUGCUCGGAAUUACUGGGCGUAAAGGGCGCGUAGGCGGUCGUGACAAGUCACUUGUGAAAUCUCCGGGCUUAACUCGGAACGGUCAAGUGAUACUGUCGGACUAGAGUACAGAAGGGGCAACUGGAAUUCUCGGUGUAGCGGUGAAAUGCGCAGAUAUCAGGAGGAACACCGGUGGCGAAGGCGGGUCUCUGGGCCGAUACUGACGCUGAGGAGCGAAAGCGUGGGGGAGCGAACAGG
rnacentral:rRNA from 1 species